GAUGAACGCUAGCGGCAGGCCUAACACAUGCAAGUCGAGGGGCAUCGCGGUGCAGCAAUGCACUGGCGGCGACCGGCGUACGGGUGCGUAACGCGUAUGCAACCUGCCCCGCACCGGGGGAUAGCCCGCCGAAAGGCGGAUUAAUACCCCAUGGUCCCGGGGGCCCGCAUGGGCAUCCGGGUAAAGCCUUGGCGGUGCGGGAUGGGCAUGCGUAACAUUAGCUGGUUGGUAAGGUAACGGCUUACCAAGGCUAUGAUGUUUAGGGGUCCUGAGAGGGUGGUCCCCCACACUGGUACUGAGACACGGACCAGACUCCUACGGGAGGCAGCAGUGAGGAAUAUUGGUCAAUGGGCGCAAGCCUGAACCAGCCAUCCCGCGUGCAGGAAGACGGCCCUAUGGGUUGUAAACUGCUUUUCCAGGGAGAGAAACUUACGCACGUGUUGCGUGACUGACGGUACCCUGGGAAUAAGCAUCGGCUAACUCCGUG
rnacentral:rRNA from 1 species